GACGGAGGGUGCUAGCGUUGUUCGGAAUGACUGGGCGUAAAGGGCGCGUAGGCGGCCGCUUGCGUCGGAUGUGAAAGCCCGGGGCUCAACCCCGGAACUGCAUCCGAUACGGGGCGCCUCGAGACCGAGAGAGGUGAGUGGAAUACCCAGUGUAGAGGUGAAAUUCGUAGAUAUUGGGUGGAACACCGGUGGCGAAAGCGGCUCACUGGCUCGGUUCUGACGCUGAGGCGCGAAAGCGUGGGGAGCAAACAGG
rnacentral:rRNA from 1 species